GCUUUUAUGACUUAGUGGCGGACGGGUGAGUAACGCGUGAGUAACCUGCCUUUCAGAGGGGGAUAACAGUUGGAAACGACUGCUAAUACCGCAUAAUGUACAGUAAUCGCAUGGUUGUUGUACCAAAGCUGAGGCGCUGAAAGAUGGACUCGCGUCUGAUUAGAUAGUUGGUGAGGUAACGGCUCACCAAGUCGACGAUCAGUAGCCGGACUGAGAGGUUGAACGGCCACAUUGGGACUGAGACACGGCCCAGACUCCUACGGGAGGCAGCAGUGGGGAAUAUUGCACAAUGGGCGAAAGCCUGAUGCAGCAACGCCGCGUGAGGGAAGACGGUUUUCGGAUUGUAAACCUCUGUCUUUGGUGAAGAUAAUGACGGUAGCCAAGGAGGAAGCCACGGCUAACUACGUGCCAGCAGCCGCGGUAAUACGUAGGUGGCAAGCGUUGUCCGGAAUUAUUGGGCGUAAAGCGCGCGCAGGUGGUUCUUUAAGUCUGAUGUGAAAGCCCCCGGCUCAACCGGGGAGGGUCAUUGGAAACUGGGGAACUUGAGUGCGGAAGAGGAUAGUGGAAUUCCAAGUGUAGCGGUGAAAUGCGUAGAGAUUUGGAGGAACACCAGUGGCGAAGGCGACUGUCUGGUCUGUAACUGACACUGAGGCGCGAAAGCAUGGGGAGCGAACAGGAUUAGAUACCCUGGUAGUCCAUGCCGUAAACGUUGGGCACUAGGUGUGGGGGACAUUCCACGUUUUCCGCGCCGUAGCUAACGCAUUAAGUGCCCCGCCUGGGGAGUACGGCCGCAAGGCUAAAACUCAAAGGAAUUGACGGGGGCCCGCACAAGCGGCGGAGCAUGCGGAUUAAUUCGAUGCAACGCGAAGAACCUUACCAAGGCUUGACAUGAACCGGAAAGACCUGGAAACAGGUCCCCCACUUGUGGCCGGUUUACAGGUGGUGCAUGGUUGUCGUCAGCUCGUGUCGUGAGAUGUUGGGUUAAGUCCCGCAACGAGCGCAACCCUCGUUCUAUGUUGCCAGCGGGUUAUGCCGGGGACUCAUAGGAGACUGCCGGGGUCAACUCGGAGGAAGGUGGGGACGACGUCAAAUCAUCAUGCCCCUUAUGUCUUGGGCUUCACGCAUGCUACAAUGGCCGGUACAAAGGGUUGCGAUACUGUGAGGUGGAGCUAAUCCCAAAAAGCCGGUCUCAGUUCGGAUUGAGGUCUGCAACUCGACCUCAUGAAGUUGGAGUCGCUAGUAAUCGCAGAUCAGCAACGCUGCGGUGAAUACGAUACGGGGCCUUGUACACACCGCCCGUCAA
rnacentral:rRNA from 1 species